GACGAACGCUGGCGGCGUGCUUAACACAUGCAAGUCGAGCGGUAAGGCCCUUUCGGGGGUACACGAGCGGCGAACGGGUGAGUAACACGUGGGUGACCUGCCCUCAGCUCUGGGAUAAAGCCCGGGAAACUGGGUCUAAUACCGGAUAUGACUCCAUGACGCAUGUUGGUGGGGUGGAAAGCCUUGUGCGGCUGAGGAUGGGCCCGCGGCCUAUCAGCUUGUUGGUGGGGUGAUGGCCUACCAAGGCGACGACGGUAGCCGGCCUGAGAGGGCGACCGGCCACACUGGGACUGAGACACGGCCCAGACU
rnacentral:rRNA from 1 species